UACGUAGGCAGCGAGCGUUGUUCGGAGUUACUGGGCGUAAAGGGUGUGUAGGCGGUUGUUUAAGUUUGGUGUGAAAUCUCCCGGCUCAACUGGGAGGGUGCGCCGAAUACUGAGCGACUAGAGUGCGGGAGAGGAAAGUGGAAUUCCUGGUGUAGCGGUGAAAUGCGUAGAUAGUCAGGAGGAACACCGGUGGUGUAGACGGCUUUCUGGACCGUAACUGACGCUGAGACACGAAAGCGUGGGUAGCAAACAGG
rnacentral:rRNA from 1 species